UGCAUUCAACAGAGCCUUGCAGGAUGCAAAUUCCUACAGUUGCACCUACGGUGGGCAUGUGGAGCUGAUUUUCACCAGCUGAUGAGCUUUAACUGCCAGUGCACUGCCGACUGUAGGACUGGGGUUUCAGUCAGGUCUGGCCAAAACUCGGCUGGUUUAUUCCUCUCCAUUUGAACCACCGUGCCCCUGGGCUAUGGGAUUCAGCUGACUUGUUUAGACAGAGGGGCUGGAGAAUGAUGGGAAGCAGCUAGGAAAUAAGGGUUUUCCGGCUGAGCCCAAGAGCUGGGAUUGCUGGGGUCUUCCUGAUGCUUCCAGUGGUCCUCCUCCUGCCUCAGGCUCCUUCAGGAAAGUUUCUGUGCAGAAAUGUUACUGGUUCAGUGCAGGAGUCAGAGUCUCAACAGAACGGACAUUCAAACACGUUCAACUACAAAAGAGAAUUGAUGACAACUCUGUGAAUCCAGGUCAGCAUUUCUGUGGGGUUUACAAGACAUGCUUGGACAUUGGAGUGACAGG